rnacentral:lncRNA from 1 species
GACGCCGGGGCCGCCGAGCGCACGCCCGCGCUCCGUCAGAGGCCGCGCCGGCGCGCCGACCGCGUGCCCGUGAGGGGGACCGUGGGGAGGCCUGCGGCCCCGGCUGGGGUGUCCCCGACCGCAACCGGAGGAAGGGAUCCGGGGCUGGUACCUGCGACGGCACCUGUGACAGCUCCGUAAAUUUUGUCCGUGGGACCCGAGCCUUCACCGAGUCUGGGCUGGAUCCUCAUGGCUGCUGGAAGCUCUUCGCCCCUGGGUGGAAGCAAAGGAGAGCCUCGCAGACUCGAUUAACCCGUCUGUUGGGCGUCUUGCCCCUGGUUUCCUUCCCCUGCUCCCUUCUUGAUUCUUAAUUUCAGCCAAAGAGAAAGUAAAGAAUCAGAAGAAAAGGCCCCCCGGUACAUAGUUGUACAUUCUUCGUUGUGGGUCCUUCUAGUUGUGGCAUGUGGGAUGCCGCCUCAGCGUGGCUUGAUGAGCAGCGCCAUGUCCGCACCCAGGAUUCGAACCAACGAAUCACUGGGCCGCCUGCAGUGGAGCACGCGAACUUAACCACUCGGCCACGGGGCCGGCCCCUGUAAUAAGUCCCCAGGUACUGAACCUAAGAGGUUAGAGGAUGUUUUUCUUACCUGACGCUGCAUUUCAAGCACUCAAUAGCCACCUAUGAUACCCCAAUAAUGGCUUUCCUCUUGCUCCUUUCUGCUUCCUGACCAAACCUGGUGCUCCCCAUGUGGCCCUGCAUGACAUGGCCUGCCCACUCCUCUCAGGAAAUGUUGUUGAGGCGGCUGAUACGAAUACCUCGUGCUCUGACAACUCCAGGAAAGCUGGGCCUCCAGAGAUCUCAGGUGAAGAGAGGGCACCUAGACCACUGCAUGCUGCCAGAUAUUCUGGAGGGUUGGAGACUGGAGCUCCUGCAGGCUGAUUUCCUGACCACUCCAUCCUCUAAUCUUCAGGGGCAUCGAAGCUCCUAUGAAGACUCCACUGCCAGACCAAGUCACCUUAUAAGGAAGAUCCCCCAAGAAGGAACUAUGAGAUAGGAACUAACCUAUGGUGUAACAAAGUGAGACCAGCUGAAGUGACAGGUGGGCAUAUUUGGGGAGUAUCUACAACCCCCUUAUGCCACGAAGAGUUUCUCCAUACAAUAUUUUGGGUCUACACACGACAAUGCAUCUGCAAGGUACAAGUCAUCUUUCAAAAUCACAUUUAUCGUGAGUAUUCACAGGAACCUUUGGACUUCAGUUUUGUGGCAAAAUUGUUUCCCAAUAUGCAUGUGUUCCUCACUUUAUGCCCUACGGCUGUUAAGCAGAGAAUGUUGACUGUCACUUUGACAUACUUACUGAAGAACAGUGUCUGAACAAAUCCUGUGACGCUUUCCCCGAACCCCGAGUUUCCAUCUUGGAGGAGAGCAGUGCUGGCUGUCAGUGAGGGGCGGGUGGGGAUGGACGGUAGUGGAGGAGUCAGAGAAAUCGUUGAGAAUUUUAUGUUUAUCUCUCUUGCAACUACGAUAUCUCUCAUGUCGGCCACCGUCAGCAAAUCACUGACACAUGAGAGCUAAGAAAGAAUCGUUUCUUUCCCUUUCUAUCUUCCUUUGAGUUCUGGCUAUCAUACUUUGCCUGAAACCCUUGGCGGCCUUCUCUGUUAGUCCUUUCAUCCUCCUUACUACCUUUUGAUCCUUUUGUUUCUCCCCAGGCAUAACUUCCACCUGUGCUGUCUUCUUAGAUUCCCCUAGGAAAGGAAUCACAGUUCAAUGAUUCUUACACUGUAGAAUGAAAUCCCCCUGACGUCCCUAUUUUAAGAAACAAAAACCUAAGUUCUCUUAACUAAAAGUCAAAUACAGAAGCCAACUUAACUUCUUACUCAAAACCUGAAUAGAAGUUUAUUUGGUGAAAGCACCUGCACGGCCUUGCAACUAAUUCAGCAUCCACAAGACAGUACUGAGGGGUUAUUCUAUAAGAAUAGGGACUGUCAUCACAAGAGGCACUGACAAUUUUCCCUUGACAAAUAACAAAACAAAUGAAAAUCACUCUCAU